AUGUACCACUCGUACACCGCGGUUACUCCGCGCCGUCCACGCCUACCUGACGACUGCUCGCUACAUUUUGUUAGCC
rnacentral:sRNA from 14 species